AUACGUAGGGGGCGAGCGUUGUCCGGAAUUACUGGGCGUAAAGGGUGCGUAGGCGGCAUAUCAAGUCAGAUGUGAAAUACCACGGCUCAACUGUGGGGUUGCAUUUGAAACUGGUAUGCUUGAGUGCAGGAGAGGGAAGUGGAAUUUCUAGUGUAGCGGUGAAAUGCGUAGAGAUUAGGGAGAACACCAGUGGCGAAGGCGGCUUCCUGGACUGUAACUGACGCUGAGGCACGAAAGCGUGGGUAGCGAACAGGAUUAGAUACCCUGGUAGUCCACGCCGUAAACGAUGGAUACCAGGUGUAGGGGGUAUCGACCCCCUCUGUGCCGGAGUUAACGCAAUAAGUAUCCCGCCUGGGGAGUACGACCGCAAGGUUGAA
rnacentral:rRNA from 1 species